GUAACAAGGUUUCCGUAGGUGAACCUGCGGAAGGAUCAUUACUGAUUUGCUUAAUUGCACCACAUGUGUUUUUCUUUGAAACAAACUUGCUUUGGCGGUGGGCCCAGCCUGCCGCCAGAGGUCUAAACUUACAACCAAUUUUUUAUCAACUUGUCACACCAGAUUAUUACUUAAUAGUCAAAACUUUCAACAACGGAUCUCUUGGUUCUCGCAUCGAUGAAGAACGCAGCGAAAUGCGAUACGUAAUAUGAAUUGCAGAUAUUCGUGAAUCAUCGAAUCUUUGAACGCACAUUGCGCCCUCUGGUAUUCCGGAGGGCAUGCCUGUUUGAGCGUCGUUUCUCCCUCAAACCGCUGGGUUUGGUGUUGAGCAAUACGACUUGGGUUUGCUUGAAAGACGGUAGUGGUAAGGCGGGAUCGCUUUGACAAUGGCUUAGGUCUAACCAAAAACAUUGCUUGCGGCGGUAACGUCCACCACGUAUAUCUUCAAACUUUGACCUCAAAUCAGGUAGGACUACCCGCUGAACUUAAGCAUAUCAAUAA
rnacentral:misc_RNA from 1 species